rnacentral:rRNA from 1 species
UACAGAGGUCUCAAGCGUUGUUCGGAUUCAUUGGGCGUAAAGGGUGCGUAGGUGGCGCCGUAAGUCGGGGUGUGAAAUUUCGGAGCUUAACUCCGAAACUGCAUUCGAUACUGCGGUGCUUGAGGACUGGAGAGGAGACUGGAAUUCAUGGUGUAGCAGUGAAAUGCGUAGAGAUCAUGAGGAAGACCAGUGGCGAAGGCGGGUCUCUGGACAGUUCCUGACACUGAGGCACGAAGGCCAGGGGGAGCAAAACGGG